AUGGCGACGGCGCUUCGACACGCGGCGAUGAGGCUGGGCGGCGGCGGCGCAUGGGCGAAGCUGCUGCCAAGGAGGCUCGUCCACGGCGGCGCAAGACCCGCUGCGGCCGCCGCGGCGGACGGCAAGACCCGCGCCCUGGACCUGAUCAAGCAGAAGAGGGAGGAGCUGUUCGACCUGAUCGCCGACACGGAGCGGCGGUACGACACGCGCAUGACCAGGGAGGGGUUCCAGAACACCCGGAUGCUCCAGCAGCUCGCCGUGCAGAUCAAGCCCAGGCCCAACGACCCGCUCUGGCGCUCGAAGCGGAACUCGAAGCUGGCCAACGAUUACCUGGGCCUUACGGGGGCUUGCGUGGCGGGCUACAUGUUCACGAAAAAAUGGCUUCAUUCCGACAAGGAGGCGGCGGAGGAGACGAUGCCAGAUCCGCAUGUCUAG
rnacentral:rRNA from 1 species